rnacentral:rRNA from 1 species
UACGAAGGGGGCUAGCGUUGCUCGGAAUCACUGGGCGUAAAGGGUGCGUAGGCGGGUCUUUUAAGUCAGGGGUGAAAUCCUGGGAGCUCAACUCCAGAACUGCCUUUGAUACUGAAGAUCUUGAGUCCGGGAGAGGUGAGUGGAACUGCGAGUGUAGAGGUGAAAUUCGUAGAUAUUUCGCAAGAACACCAGUGGCGAAGGCGGCUCACUGGCCCGGUACUGACGCUGAGGCACGAAAGCGUGGGGAGCAAACAGG